rnacentral:rRNA from 1 species
GCGCGAAAACUUUACAAUGCGAGAAAUCGUGAUAAGGGAACCCCGAGUGCCCGUAAAUUCGGGCUGUCCAUCAGUGCAAAAAACUGGUGAAGAAAGAGCCGGGCAAGACCGGUGCCAGCCGCCGCGGUAAUACCGGCGGCUCGAGUGGUGGCCACUAUUACUGGGCUUAAAGCGUCCGUAGCUUGGUUGUUAAGUCUCCUGGGAAAUCCAUCGGCUCAACCGAUGGGCGUUCAGGAGAUACUGGCAACCUAGGGACCGGGAGAGGUGAGAGGUACUCCAGGGGUAGGAGUGAAAUCCUGUAAUCCUUGGGGGACCACCUGUGGCGAAGGCGUCUCACUAGAACGGCUCCGACAGUGAGGGACGAAAGCUGGGGGAGCAAACCGGAUUAGAUACCCGGGUAGUCCCAGCUGUAAACGAUGCGCGUUAGGUGUAUCGGUGACCACGAGUCACCGAGGUGCCGAAGGGAAACCGUGAAACGUGCCGCCUGGGAAGUACGGUCGCAAGGCUGAAACUUAAAGGAAUUGGCGGGGGAGCACCACAACAGGUGG